ACUGCCCGGUGUGUGUAUAAACGGCCGCAGUACCUUAACUGUGCUAAGGUAGCAUAAUCAUUAGCUCUUUAAUUGAGAGCCAGUAUGAAAGAUUUAACGAGAAACUAACUUUUUCCACUCUAAUUUAACUUACUAGUAGAGUUAAGAAGCUCUAACUCCUUAAAAAGACGAUAAGACCCUGAAAGCUUUAGCUUCUACACCUCACUAAGAUUUUAAAAAAAUAAAGCUUUUACUGGGGAGGUAAAUUUUAUUCAAAACAAAAUACUUUUAAACACUAUAAGUGAUUCUACCUAACAUCUGAUAAUAAAAUAAUAGCUACUUCAGGGAUAACAGCAUAAUAUCUCUUUAGAGUCCUUAUCGUUAGAGAUGAGUGUGACCUCGAUGUUGAAUUGAAAUCUCUUCCCAGAGCAGCCCCUGGGAGAAGAAAGCCUGUUCGUCUUUUAAUACUUCA
rnacentral:rRNA from 1 species